AGCAGCCGCGGUAAUUCCAGCUCCAAUAGCGUAUAUUAAAGUUGUUGCAGUUAAAAAGCUCGUAGUUGAAUUUCGGGAUCAAUACGUCGGUCGUGCUUCGGUACGUACUGGCGUCAUUGGUUUCUCCCUUCUGACGAACCAUGAUGUCAUUAACUUGGUGUCAUGGGAAAUCAGGACUGUUACUUUGAAAAAAUUAGAGUGUUUAAAGCAGGCUCACGCUUGAAUACAUUAGCAUGGAAUAAUGAAAUAGGACGUUCGAUCCUAUUUUGUUGGUUUCUAGGAUUGACGUAAUGAUUAAUAGGGAUAGUUGGGGGCAUUAGUAUUCAAUUGUCAGAGGUGAAAUUCUUGGAUUUAUUGAAGACUAACUACUGCGAAAGCAUUUGCCAAGGAUGUUUUCAUUAAUCAAGAACGAAAGUUAGGGGAUCGAAGACGAUCAGAUACCGUCGUAGUCUUAACCAUAAACUAUGCCGACUAGGGAUCGGAUGAUGUUAAUUUUUUAAUGACUCAUUCGGCGCCUUACG
rnacentral:rRNA from 1 species